rnacentral:rRNA from 1 species
CGGCGAUGUCCGAAUGGGGAAACCCAGUGCAAUUCGUUGCACUAUCGUUAACUGAAUACAUAGGUUAACGAGGCGAACCGGGGGAACUGAAACAUCUAAGUACCCCGAGGAAAAGAAAUCAACCGAGAUUCCCCCAGUAGCGGCGAGCGAACGGGGAGCAGCCCAGAGUCUGAAUCAGCUUGUGUGUUAGUGGAACGGUCUGGAAAGUCCGACGGUACAGGGUGAUAGUCCCGUACACCAAAAUGCACAGGUUGUGAACUCGAAGAGUAGGGCGGGACACGUGGUAUCCUGUCUGAAUAUGGGGGGACCAUCCUCCAAGGCUAAAUACUCCUGACUGACCGAUAGUGAACCAGUACCGUGAGGGAAAGGCGAAAAGAACCCCGGCGAGGGGAGUGAAAAAGAACCUGAAACCGUGUACGUACAAGCAGUGGGAGCACCUUCGGGUGUGACUGCGUACCUUUUGUAUAAUGGGUCAGCGACUUAUAUUCUGUAGCAAGGUUAACCGUAUAGGGGAGCCGCAGGGAAACCGAGUCUUAACUGGGCGUUAAGUUGCAGGGUAUAGACCCGAAACCCGGUGAUCUAGCCAUGGGCAGGUUGAAGGUUGGGUAACACUAACUGGAGGACCGAACCGACUAAUGUUGAAAAAUUAGCGGAUGACUUGUGGCUGGGGGUGAAAGGCCAAUCAAACCGGGAGAUAGCUGGUUCUCCCCGAAAGCUAUUUAGGUAGCGCCUCGUGAACUCAUCUUCGGGGGUAGAGCACUGUUUCGGCUAGGGGGUCAUCCCGACUUACCAACCCGAUGCAAACUACGAAUACCGAAGAAUGUUAUCACGGGAGACACACGGCGGGUGCUAACGUCCGUCGUGAAGAGGGAAACAACCCAGACCGCCAGCUAAGGUCCCAAAGUCAUGGUUAAGUGGGAAACGAUGUGGGAAGGCACAGACAGCCAGGAUGUUGGCUUAGAAGCAGCCAUCAUUUAAAGAAAGCGUAAUAGCUCACUGGUCGAGUCGGCCUGCGCGGAAGAUGUAACGGGGCUAAACCAUGCACCGAAGCUGCGGCAGCGACACUAUGUGUUGUUGGGUAGGGGAGCGUUCUGUAAGCCUGCGAAGGUGUGCUGUGAGGCAUGCUGGAGGUAUCAGAAGUGCGAAUGCUGACAUAAGUAACGAUAAAGCGGGUGAAAAGCCCGCUCGCCGGAAGACCAAGGGUUCCUGUCCAACGUUAAUCGGGGCAGGGUGAGUCGACCCCUAAGGCGAGGCCGAAAGGCGUAGUCGAUGGGAAACAGGUUAAUAUUCCUGUACUUGGUGUUACUGCGAAGGGGGGACGGAGAAGGCUAUGUUAGCCGGGCGACGGUUGUCCCGGUUUAAGCAUGUAGGCUGAUUGUCCAGGCAAAUCCGGAUAAUCAAGGCUGAGGUGUGAUGACGAGGCACUACGGUGCUGAAGUAACAAAUGCCCUGCUUCCAGGAAAAGCCUCUAAGCAUCAGGUAACAUCAAAUCGUACCCCAAACCGACACAGGUGGUCAGGUAGAGAAUACCAAGGCGCUUGAGAGAACUCGGGUGAAGGAACUAGGCAAAAUGGUGCCGUAACUUCGGGAGAAGGCACGCUGGUGUGUAGGUGAAGCCCCUGCGGGUGGAGCUGAGACCAGUCGAAGAUACCAGCUGGCUGCAACUGUUUAUUAAAAACACAGCACUGUGCAAACACGAAAGUGGACGUAUACGGUGUGACGCCUGCCCGGUGCCGGAAGGUUAAUUGAUGGGGUUAUCCGUAAGGAGAAGCUCUUGAUCGAAGCCCCGGUAAACGGCGGCCGUAACUAUAACGGUCCUAAGGUAGCGAAAUUCCUUGUCGGGUAAGUUCCGACCUGCACGAAUGGCGUAAUGAUGGCCAGGCUGUCUCCACCCGAGACUCAGUGAAAUUGAACUCGCUGUGAAGAUGCAGUGUACCCGCGGCAAGACGGAAAGACCCCGUGAACCUUUACUAUAGCUUGACACUGAACAUUGAGCCUUGAUGUGUAGGAUAGGUGGGAGGCUUUGAAGCGUGGACGCCAGUCUGCGUGGAGCCAACCUUGAAAUACCACCCUUUAAUGUUUGAUGUUCUAACGUUGGCCCCUGACCGGGGUUGCGGACAGUGUCUGGUGGGUAGUUUGACUGGGGCGGUCUCCUCCCAAAGCGUAACGGAGGAGCACGAAGGUUAGCUAAUCCUGGUCGGACAUCAGGAGGUUAGUGCAAUGGCAUAAGCUAGCUUGACUGCGAGCGUGACGGCGCGAGCAGGUGCGAAAGCAGGUCAUAGUGAUCCGGUGGUUCUGAAUGGAAGGGCCAUCGCUCAACGGAUAAAAGGUACUCCGGGGAUAACAGGCUGAUACCGCCCAAGAGUUCAUAUCGACGGCGGUGUUUGGCACCUCGAUGUCGGCUCAUCACAUCCUGGGGCUGAAGUAGGUCCCAAGGGUAUGGCUGUUCGCCAUUUAAAGUGGUACGCGAGCUGGGUUUAGAACGUCGUGAGACAGUUCGGUCCCUAUCUGCCGUGGGCGCUGGAGAAUUGAGGGGGGCUGCUCCUAGUACGAGAGGACCGGAGUGGACGCAUCACUGGUGUUCGGGUUGUCAUGCCAAUGGCACUGCCCGGUAGCUAAAUGCGGAAGAGAUAAGUGCUGAAAGCAUCUAAGCACGAAACUUGCCCCGAGAUGAGUUCU